rnacentral:piRNA from 1 species
AGGACAUCUGCAUGGAAUGAACAAA